UACGGAGGGUGCGAGCGUUGUCCGGAUUUAUUGGGUUUAAAGGGUGCGUAGGUGGGUUAAUAAGUCAGUGGUGAAAUACGGUUGCUCAACAAUCGAGGUGCCAUUGAUACUGUUAAUCUUGAAACAAGUGGAGGUUGCCGGAAUGGAUGGUGUAGCGGUGAAAUGCGCAGAUAUCGGGAGGAACACCGGUGGCGAAGGCGGCCAUCUGGACCGCAACUGACGCUGAGGCGCGAAAGCGUGGGGAGCAAACAGGG
rnacentral:rRNA from 1 species